UAAAAGGUCGGGAUAGCUCAGUUGGUAGAGC
rnacentral:tRNA from 1 species